rnacentral:rRNA from 1 species
UACGGAGGAUGCAAGCGUUAUCCGGAUUUAUUGGGUUUAAAGGGUGCGCAGGUUGUUUGAUAAGUCAGUGGUGAAAGUCUGUCGCUUAACGGUAGGAUUGCAAUUGAUACUGUUGGACUUGAAUAUGGAUGAGGUAGGCGGAAUGUGUAGUGUAGCGGUGAAAUGCAUAGAUAUUACACAGAACACCGAUUGCGAAGGCAGCUUACUAAUCCAUCAUUGACGCUGAGGCACGAAAGCGUGGGGAUCAAA